UACGUAGGGCGCAAGCGUUGUCCGGAAUUAUUGGGCGUAAAGAGCUCGUAGGCGGCUUGUCACGUCGGGUGUGAAAGCCCGGGGCUUAACCCCGGGUCUGCAUUCGAUACGGGCAGGCUAGAGUGUGGUAGGGGAGAUCGGAAUUCCCGGUGUAGCGGUGAAAUGCGCAGAUAUCAGGAGGAACACCGGUGGCGAAGGCGGAUCUCUGGGCCAUUACUGACGCUGAGGAGCGAAAGCGUGGGGAGCGAACAGG
rnacentral:rRNA from 1 species